CUCUGCUGUGGCCUAUGGCUUUUCAUUCCUAUGUGAUUACUGUUCCAAACUCAUGUAGGGCUAAAAGCCAUGGGUUACAGUGAGGGGCG
rnacentral:pre_miRNA from 1 species